rnacentral:rRNA from 1 species
GAUGAACGCUGGCGGCGUGCCUAAUACAUGCAAGUCGAGCGAACAGACGAGGAGCUUGCUCCUCUGACGUUAGCGGCGGACGGGUGAGUAACACGUGGAUAACCUACCUAUAAGACUGGGAUAACUUCGGGAAACCGGAGCUAAUACCGGAUAAUAUAUUGAACCUCAUGGUUCAAUAGUGAAAGACGGUUUUGCUGUCACUUAUAGAUGGAUCCUCGCCGCAUUAGCUAGUUGGUAAGGUAACGGCUUACCAAGGCGACGAUGCGUAGCCGACCUGAGAGGGUGAUCGGCCACACUGGAACUGAGACACGGUCCAGACUCCUACGGGAGGCAGCAGUAGGGAAUCUUGCGCAAUGGGCGAAAGCCUGACGGAGCAACGCCGCGUGAGUGAUGAAGGUCUUCGGAUCGUAAAACUCUGUUAUUAGGGAAGAACAAAUGUGUAAGUAACUAUGCACGUCUUGACGGUACCUAAUCAGAAAGCCACGGCUAACUACGUG